rnacentral:rRNA from 1 species
AUUGAACGCUGGCGGCAGGCCUAACACAUGCAAGUCGAGCGGUUGACGGGAGCUUGCUCCCUGAUUCAGCGGCGGACGGGUGAGUAAUGCCUAGGAAUCUGCCUAUUAGUGGGGGACAACGUUUCGAAAGGAACGCUAAUACCGCAUACGUCCUACGGGAGAAAGCAGGGGACCUUCGGGCCUUGCGCUAAUAGAUGAGCCUAGGUCGGAUUAGCUUGUUGGUGAGGUAAUGGCUCACCAAGGCGACGAUCCGUAACUGGUCUGAGAGGAUGAUCAGUCACACUGGAACUGAGACACGGUCCAGACUCCUACGGGAGGCAGCAGUGGGGAAUAUUGGACAAUGGGCGAAAACCUGAUCCAGCCAUGCCGCGUGUGUGAAGAAGGUCUUCGGAUUGUAAAGCACUUUAAGUUGGGAGGAAGGGUUGUAGAUUAAUACUCUGCAAUUUUGACGUUACCGACAGAAUAAGCACCGGCUAACUCUGUGCCAGCCGCCGCAGUAACAC